CCUGGCGGCCACAGCGCGGCGGUCCCACCUGACCCCAUGCCGAACUCAGAAGUGAAACGCCGUAGCGCCGAUGGUAGUGUGGGGUC
rnacentral:rRNA from 1 species